UUUCGAUUUCCGGGUCGUGAUAUGAUGAGCACCUGGCUCCACUCUGGACCCCUACCAGCACGUGUUGCUGAUCCACGGGUCCAAAGCACCCUCCAAACCUGCACAGAUGGCCACUUAACAGCUCUGUGGAGGACACGAGGCUGGUGGGAAUGCCGAUACCACGGCAGGUCGGAACUGAGAGAGGAGAAAACACAGACAGCUUGAGACAGGGAUGGAGAGGUCAAGCCAUGUGAAACGGCCAGGAUGCAGGAUCCUCACAACCUUCAAACUUCAUGCUGGAGAGUCGUUUGAAUCACACACUCACUCCCCCAGGUCUGUCUGUCUCUUGUUCCGCCCUACUAGCUCUGGGUUUCUAGAACCUUCCAUCUCACAAACAGUCCAGAAAGCCUGCCACUGCCCCCUAAUCUCAGGGUCCACUCAUAGCUCAGGAGUCACUUCCUAGUGUCCCCUGCCCCAUCUGUUUUACCAGGGGACAAAGCCAGGAUCUGGGAUGGCUUCCUGAAUUCAGUGCC